GACGAACGCUGGCGGCGUGCUUAACACAUGCAAGUCGAGCGACGCUCUUCCUUCGGGGAGAUGACGGAGCGGCGAACGGGUGAGUAACACGUGGGCAACCUGCCCCUAGCUCUGGGACAACACCGGGAAACCGGUGCUAAUACCGGAUACGACAUCGAGCGGCAUCUCUCGAUGUGGAAAGUUUUUUCGGCUAGGGAUGGGCCCGCGGCCUAUCAGCUUGUUGGUGGGGUAAUGGCCCACCAAGGCGACGACGGGUAGCCGGCCUGAGAGGGCGACCGGCCACACUGGGACUGAGACACGGCCCAGACUCCUACGGGAGGCAGCAGUGGGGAAUAUUGCGCAAGGGGCGAAAGCCUGACGCAGCGACGCCGCGUGAGGGAUGACGGCCUUCGGGUUGUAAACCUCUUUCAGCAGGGACGAAUUCAGACGGUACCUGCAGAAGAAGCACCGGCCAACUACGUG
rnacentral:rRNA from 1 species